CCACUCCCCCAGGCUGAAUUAUGGCAAUUCCCUGCUGUGUAGCCUUGUCUUUGGGAGUGGAAGUGAGUGACAGUCACGUUUGACACCGGCCUGGUCGGAACCGCACCUAGCGGCUGUGCCGGAGCAAGGGUGGCGAACUCCGCCCCAGGGAGCAGCUGGGGAUCCCGGCCAUCCGCAUGGGCCUGAGGCUCGCGAGGAGAUGGGGAUCUCGCCGUGUUGCUCAGACUGGUGUCAAAUUCCUGGACUCAAGCCAUCCUUCCACCUCGGCCUCCCAAACUGUUGGGAUUACAGGACAUAGUGGUUGCUUCCAAUGCUUGGAGGGUCUGAAUAGAGCAUCUAUAAACGUUCAUAUGCAAGUUUUUGUGUGGGCAUCAGUUUCCGAAUCAAGUAAAUAACUAGAAGCACAACUGCUGUGAUUACCCGAAUCAGGUAAAUAACUAGAAGCACAACAUGAUA
rnacentral:lncRNA from 1 species